rnacentral:rRNA from 1 species
GAAUCUUGCGCAAUGGGCGAAAGCCUGACGCAGCGAUGCCGCGUGAGCGAUGAAGGCCUUCGGGUUGUAAAGCUCUGUGGAUGGAGACGAAUAAGUGUUGGUUAAUACCCAGCAUGAUGACGGUAUCCAUUUAGCAAGCACCGGCUAACUCUGCUCCAGCAGCCGCGGUAAUACAGAGGGUGCAACCGUUGUUCGGAAUUACUGGGCGGAAAGCGCGUGUAGGCGGCUUUGUAAGUCGGAUGUGAAAUCCCGCGGCUCAACCGUGGAAGUGCACUCGAAACUGCAAGGCUAGAGUAUCGGAGAGGAAGGUGGAAUGCUUGGUGUAGAGGUGAAAUUCGUAGAUAUCAAGCGGAACACCGGUGGCGAAGGCGGCCUUCUGGACGAUUACUGACGCUGAGACGCGAAAGCGUGGGUAGCAAACAGG